GACGAACGCUGGCGGCGUGCUUAACACAUGCAAGUCGAACGGAAAGGCCCUGCUUUUGUGGGGUGCUCGAGUGGCGAACGGGUGAGUAACACGUGAGUAACCUGCCCUUGACUUUGGGAUAACUUCUGGAAACUGGGGCUAAUACCGGACAGGAGCUCCUGCUGCAUGGUGGGGGUGGGAAAGUUUCGGCGGUUGGGGAUGGACGGGCGGCUUAUCAGCUUGUUGGUGGGGUAGUGGCUUACCAAGGCUUUGACGGGUAGCCGGCCUGAGAGGGUGACCGGCCACAUUGGGACUGAGAUACGGCCCAGACUCGUACGGGAGGCAGCAGUGGAGAAUAUUGCACAAUGGGCGGAAGCCUGAUGCAGCAACGCCGCGUGCGGGAUGACGGCCUUCGGGUUGUAAACCGCUUUCGCCUGUGACGGAGCGUGAGUGACGGUAAUGGGUAAAGAAGCACCGGCUAACUACGUG
rnacentral:rRNA from 1 species